GGGGAUAUAGCUCAGCAGCACAGCUCCUGCCUGGCAAGUAUGAGGUCAUGAGUUCAAUCCCCAGUACCCCCA
rnacentral:tRNA from 1 species